rnacentral:rRNA from 1 species
CCUACGUGUGGCAGCAGUGAGGAAUAUUGGUCAAUGGGCGCGAGCCUGAACCAGCCAAGUCGCGUGAGGGAAGACGGCCCUACGGGUUGUAAACCUCUUUUGCCGGGGAGCAACGGGCGCCACGUGUGGCGCCACUGAGAGUACCCGGAGAAAAAGCAGCGGCUAACUCCGUGCCAGCAGCCGCGGUAAUACGGAGGAUGCGAGCGUUAUCCGGAUUGAUGGGGUUUAAAGGGGGCGUAGGCGGAGCGUUAAGUCAGUGGUCAAAUUGAGGGGCUCAACCCCUUCCCGCCAUUGAAACUGGCGCUCUUGAGUGGACGAGAAGUAUGCGGACUGCGUGGUGUAGCGGUGAAAUGCAUAGAUCUCACGCAGAACCCCGAUUGCGAAGGCAGCAUGCCGGCUUCCGACUGACGCUGACGCACGACAGCGUGGGGAUCGAACAGGAUUAGAUACCCCAGUAGUC